CGUAAGCGAAAGCGUAAGUAAUCACUCGGGAGUACGCCGGCAACGGUGAAACUCAAAGGAAUUGACGGGGCCCGCGACAAGCGGAGGAACAUGUGGUUAAUUCGAUCAUACGCGGGGAACUACCCGGGUUUGAACGCAGUCUGACCGCCGAUGAAAGUCGGUUUCUAGCAAUAGCGGAUUGCGAGGUGCUGCAUGGUUGUCGUCAGCUCGUGCCGUGAGGUGUCGGCUUAAGUGCCAUAACGAGCGCAACCCUUUCUGCCAGUUACUAACAGGUGAUGCUGAGGACUCUGGCGGUACUGCCAUCGUAAGAUGUGAGGAAGGUGGGGAUGACGUCAAAUCAGCACGGCCCUUACGUCCGGGGCUACACACGUGUUACAAUGGGGAGUACAGAAGGCCGCUUGCCGGCGACGGCUGGCCAAUCCCGAAAGCUCCUCCUCAGUUCGGACUGGAGUCUGCAACCCGACUCCACGAAGCUGGAUUCGCUAGUAAUCGCGCAUCAGCCACGGCGCGGUGAAUACGUUCCCGGGUCGACGCGGCCG
rnacentral:rRNA from 1 species